rnacentral:misc_RNA from 1 species
CUUGUACACACCGCCCGUCACGCCAUGGGAGUUGGUUUUACCUUAAGCCGGUGCGCUAACCGCAAGAAGCAGCCGUCCACGGUAGGGUCAGCGACUGGGGCGAAGUCGUAACAAGGUAACCGUAGGGGAACCUGCGGUUGGAUCACCUCCUUUCUAAGGAUAUUGAUGUUUGUUUAGGCAAACAUCCGGAUUGUUGUCUAUUUAUCUCUUUAUAAUAUUAGCUAAGUGCUAGGUGUUUCCUUAAUCAAACUGGGCCGGUAGCUCAGUUGGUUAGAGCGCGCGCUUGAUAAGCGUGAGGUCGGAAGUUCAAGUCUUCCUCGGCCCACCAUUUUUCAAGGGGGAUUAGCUCAGCUGGGAGAGCGCCUGAUUUGCAUUCAGGAGGUCAGCGGUUCGAUCCCGCUAUCCUCCACCAUAUCUUCUAAUAUUAUAUCUUAUUUGUUCUUUAAAUUUGUAAAUAUGAAACUAAUAACUGAUCAAAAUAAUUUUAUUAUUGAUUAAAAAAUACGUACAAAAUUUUUCUCUGUACGUAAUUGCAAUCAAGCGCAAAAGGGCAUUUAGUGGAUGUCUUGGCAUUAAGAGACGAAGAAGGACGUGGCAGGCUGCGAUAAGCUAAGGGGAGUUGUCGACAAACUUUGAUCCGUAGA